rnacentral:rRNA from 1 species
CAGCAGCCGCGGUAAUACAGAGGGUGCGAGCGUUAAUCGGAUUUACUGGGCGUAAAGCGUGCGUAGGCGGCUUUUUAAGACGGAUGUGAAAUCCCUGAGCUUAACUUAGGAAUUGCAUUCGAUACUGGGAAGCUAGAGUAUGGGAGAGGAUGGUAGAAUUCCAGGUGUAGCGGUGAAAUGCGUAGAGAUCUGGAGGAAUACCGAUGGCGAAGGCAGCCAUCUGGCCUAAUACUGACGCUGAGGUACGAAAGCAUGGGGAGCAAACAGGAUUAGAUACCCCUGUAGUCCCUGUCUCUUAUAC